GACAAAAGAUCUAGUCUCUCACACACCCUUUCUCUCUCCCAUCGUUGACUUCUCUCUCUCGCUCCCAAUCUCAUGCCUUCUCUCUCACUCUUCUUCGAUUUUCUCUCUUGCACACUCCUAAUCUCAUAAUUUUUCCCUCAAUUCCCAUACCAACCACACACUAUUCACACUUUUCUUUUAAAUUUCAACCAAAAACCUCUCACAUCUCACAACCCAUAACAAUUCAAUCCAAAAAUCAGCAAGCAAGUGAGAGAAGUCGCCCAUUACUGCCAACCAAAAGGGAAAAGAGGAUCAAAUGCCAGCCAAGGGAGGACCCAAGGUGGCAUGCAAGGAGAGGAGGAAGAGUGGACGGUGCCAAGGAGGAAGAAAGAAGGAAAAGAAGAGAAAAGAAAGGAAAAAAAAAAAAAAGAGAAGAAAGGAAGAAAAAGGAAGAGAAAGGAAGAGGAAAAGGCAAAAGAAAAAAAAAUGAAGAAAAGGUAUGUUCUCUUAAAUUUUCUGACGACUUUGGUGUAUCAAAAAUUUUUGGGUAACAUGAAAUUGCUUGAUUUGAUGAGAAUGAUGUGAAAUUGUAUGAUUUUGAUCACCAAAAAAUUAUGAUUGAUGAAUUGUUGAUAAAUUUGAUGAGUUUGUCUGAAUUUUUUGGGUAUUAGAAUUUUUCAGAUAAUGAGAAAUUGAUAGAAAUUGAUAAACUAGGAUACUGCAAUUUGUUUUUUUUUUUUGGUAACAAAUUUGAUGGAAAAGAACAAAUUUGAAUAUCAGAAAAUUUUUUAGGUAAUGUACCUUUAAAUAAACUGAUGAAUUUUGAGUAUCAGAACAUUUUCGAGUAAUGCACAUUUCAUAAAACUGAUACCGAUUGCAUGAUUCUUGCUUGUACCAUGUAAUUGAUGGAUGAUACUCGCAAAUUGACUUUUUAUGAAUUUUGUAUGGUUCUUCAAAUGUUGAGAAAACCUUAAUCACAUGCUGAAUUGUUGAACUAUGUGUCCUCUAAAAAUUUGCAAACCUUAAAUGGCAUCUUUACUUGUUUUGUGGUUUGUGUCAAGAUUGUGACCCUUUGCGAUGUUUGAAAAUUUUCGACACGAUACUAUUAUAGGGGAAAUGCUAUUAAAAUUUCUGUGGAACCCAAAUCCACCUUAUCACACCAAUUUUCUUAUCCAUCGCAAACUGCAUAAAUGAACACCUUGUUGUUCCUUUUUUUUUUUUGGGAA
rnacentral:misc_RNA from 1 species